UAUCAAUAAGCGGAGGAAAAGAAACCAACAGGGAUUGCCCUAGUAACGGCGAGUGAAGCGGCAACAGCUCAAAUUUGAAAUCUGGCUCCUUUGGGGUCCGAGUUGUAAUUUGUAGAGGGUGCUUUGGCGUUGGCUCCGGCCUAAGUUCCUUGGAACAGGACGUCACAGAGGGUGAGAAUCCCGUACGUGGCCGACCGUCUUCGCCGUGUAAAGCCCCUUCGACGAGUCGAGUUGUUUGGGAAUGCAGCUCUAAAUGGGAGGUAAAUUUCUUCUAAAGCUAAAUAUUGGCCAGAGACCGAUAGCGCACAAGUAGAGUGAUCGAAAGAUGAAAAGCACUUUGGAAAGAGAGUCAAAAAGCACGUGAAAUUGUUGAAAGGGAAGCGCUUGCAGCCAGACUUGCCUGUAGUUGCUCAUCCGGGCUCCUGCCCGGUGCACUCUUCUAUUGGCAGGCCAGCAUCAGUUUGGGCGGCCGGAUAAAGGCCUCGGGAAUGUAGCUCUCUUCGGGGAGUGUUAUAGCCCGGGGUGUCAUGCGACCAGCCUGGACUGAGGUCCGCGCAUCUGCUAGGAUGCUGGCGUAAUGGCUGUAAGCGGCCCGUCUUGAAACACGGACCAAGGAGUCUAACAUCUAUGCGAGUGUUUGGGUGUCAAGCCCGGGCGCGUAAUGAAAGUGAACGGAGGUGGGAACCCCCCGGGGUGCACCAUCGACCGAUCCUGAUGUCUUCGGAUGGAUUUGAGUAAGAGCAUAGCUGUUGGGACCCGAAAGAUGGUGAACUAUGCCUGAAUAGGGUGAAGCCAGAGGAAACUCUGGUGGAGGCUCGCAGCGGUUCUGACGUGCAAAUCGAUCGUCAAAUUUGGGCAUAGGGGCGAAAGACUAAUCGAACUAUCUAGUAGCUGGUUCCUGCGA
rnacentral:rRNA from 1 species